rnacentral:rRNA from 1 species
UACGUAGGGGGCAAGCGUUGUCCGGAAUCAUUGGGCGUAAAGCGCGUGUAGGCGGUUCGGUAAGUCUGCUGUGAAAGUCCAGGGCUCAACCCUGGGAUGCCGGUGGAUACUGUCGGACUAGAGUACGGAAGAGGCGAGUGGAAUUCCCGGUGUAGCGGUGAAAUGCGCAGAUAUCAGGAGGAACACCGAUUGCGAAGGCAGCUCGCUGGGACGUUACUGACGCUGAGACGCGAAAGCGUGGGGAGCAAACAGG